rnacentral:lncRNA from 1 species
GGUUGAAUUUCUAACUUCUAAAUGUAACAUAACACACAUUUGAGAGUGAGAUAAAACUGAUGGAAUCGUCUAGGAAUUUAGACAUAGAAAUACCUACACCUUGCUCUUUACCUUAUAAACAGGAGAACUGCCUAAGGUGAAGAAGUGUUCUAUUCAAGUUGGGGGAUAUUGCAAAGUUAGGUGGAAAAAAGAGUGAAGGAAUCCAAAAUACGGAAAAAUAUAUUUCUGGCAAGAUUGGACAUGGAGUUCAGACAGAGCUGAGAAAAAGUGAAAUCAGAAUUAUCUGAUGGAUUUCAGCAUGGAAGAUGGCUGUGACAAUGAAGAUAAGGACUUGCAGGCAUGAGAAAAGGAGCAUGCCUGAGUUAACUGAUCCCUUUAAAGCAGGGUUUGAGCGAUUCAGCAUCUUAGAGGAGAUCUUUCAUGGAGUCCAAGGCAUGGCCAAGUUUUGAGACAUUCAUAAGAGAGACAAAAAGAAAACAAUCAUAUCUAAUUGUUAGCAUUUUUCUCUAUAUCUCUAUGUUUUCAUGUAUAUUAUCUCAUUUAAUAUUCAUAAAAAUUCUCUGAUAAGUGUAGGAUUAGUCCUAUUUUGUAAGUAAAACACUUAGGCUCAGAGAAGUAGACAAACUUGUGGAAGUUUACAUAAGCAUUAAGUGAAAGAAUACUUUUGCCAAAACCCUAUUAUUGCCUCCACGUAUCAUGGUGGAACUAGAGUUUAGAAAAAUUCUCAGGAUGGAUGGUAAAGUAAAUUUUCAAGGAUGCUGGUAAUACUAGCACAUCUUAGGUGCUCAGUAGAUAUUGAUGGAAGCACAUUAAAGAGGACAAAUUUAACUGCUUUAAACUUAAAGGGGCAGAAUUCAACCUGGGCCACGGCAGUGCUAGUACAGAAUCCUAACCACUAGAGCACCAGGGUACUCCUCGGUAUGGAUCUUGACUAAAAAAAUCUCUAAAGAAAUUCAGUUUUGCUCUUUAGUUAACCAUAUUAACAACCAAACACUAUGCAGAUGAAACUGUUAUUUCUUUAUGAAAAUAUGAGUUUGUUACCAUGAGAACUUAUUGGAAUUAUUUUUCUUUAGAGCUAUAUUGUCACUUCGCCUAUUGACAAUAGAGACAUUUUGUAAUGCAUCAUGUGCUUGUGUUCUCUUACAAGAUGGGAAAAGACGCACACUGAAAAAAACUUCUUAAUUUUAAUUUCCACAGCAAGUCUAAAUGUUAUCCAAUGUGUUCAUCUUGUUUUACGUUUAUAAAAGGAGGAAGGAAAGAAGAAAGUAUCAAUAUUUAAGAAAUUAAGAGUGCACAUCAGUUGUACUUUUUUAUUUUGUCUGUGCCCAUGGCAUGAAUAAGUUCCCGGGCCAGGGAGCUAACCUGAGCCACAACAGUGAUAAUGCCAGGUCCUUAACUACUAUGCCGUCAGGGGACUCCAGUUGUACCAUUUUUAUACUCUUUGCUUUAUGUUAGAAUAUUAGCAAGAUUUUUAAAAAUAUUGCCAUAUUUUAAGUGGUGUUAAUUAUUUAACUGUUUAAUCAUCAUCAUUAAACAAUUUCCAUAAAGAAAAUCCUUAAGUCGGGAAAAUCUAUGAAGGAUUUUAUCCUCCACCUGGUGUUAUUGGCUUCUUGCCUCAAUCAUCCGAAUUAUGAUAUUUAUUAUCUCCCUGUUGCCACCAGAGGGAGAUGCAGAGUCUCAUUAGGGACCAGCAUUGCUGGUUAGUGUGAAUGUUUAAUAUCAUUUAUCUGUCUCUCUCAGUAAACUUUGUUAUGAAAUUAUUUCUAGACAUUGAUAAGGCAAAGCAUGUUACAAUUGGGAAGCAUUAGCGUGAUGUCAAGCUUAAAUUCAUGUGACAAGAAGAACAUUAUUUUAUGUAGUAGAGUUCAAGAUAACCCCAGAGAAAGAAUACAGUUUACAGCAUAAUCAAAGCCGAUGUUUGACAAGGAAGAUUUUUACUUCAUAAUAAAUGAGUUGACUCUGAAUUUUGGACAAAUAUCUUACUCAAAACACUGUAGUUGGCAUAUUUUAACUUGGUGCCUUGAUUCUUUUCAGUUUAAUUGGCAGGUUUUUCAAAAGGACUGACCUGCUCAAAUUUAAAUUUAAAGAUAAGAGAAUCUUUUGUAUUUAUCAGCUUUCACCAGCAGUUGUAAAUAUACUUGAUGGAAAUUUACUGAAUUUGUGGGUGGUAGUUUUUUAAUUUUUUUCCCCUCUGCCUUUUAGAUAUAGAUGUACCAGCCAGAGUAUAGAUUUUUGAUAUGCUUUUUCUCAUUUCUCUAGUCUGACAAAUACAUAAAAGAACAUAAAGAUCUUUUUUUAAGUCUAGUAAAUUAUGGCAGCAUGUGCUGGCUCCAAAAAAUGGACAAGAAGAAAUAGGUGAUCUGUUGUAUGUCAAGUAAAAAAAAAAUCAGUCAUUUUCAUUUUUUAAUUUUGUUAAAUGUGUUUUUAUUAAACAAUAAUGCCAUAGAAAAACUUGAAAAAUGGAUUAGUUUAUUGACAUUACUGUGUUUUAUUACUAGAAAUUUUGGUUAAAAACAGAAUAACAAAGUCCAGCUCUUUUCUUUCUAUAUCCCAGUGUUAAUUAGCCCAGUUACUUGGCAUUUUGAAUAAUAUGAAAGUUUGUAACUAAAUAGUACUAUAAAAGCAAUACCUUCUGGAUUCUGCUGGUGAAAUGAAAAUUACUAUGAAACAAACUAAAUGUAAGGUUUUUUUCAGAGUGUUAAUUUCAUUUAAAUUAUCACAAAUUUUAUGUUGCAUUUUAUUUUAGCAGUGUGAUUCCUUGCAUAGUAAUCUGCUUGGAGUUUGCUAUAGUGUGGGAGUUAACUGUGACUUGAGAAUUGUGUAUAUGUGCAUUUUAAAAUGUCUUUUUUUUUCAACUUUGUGGAAAAUGUCCACUUUCACACACAUUUGGAUACAAGGAAAUUUGGAAAUGGUCUUUUUAUUUUGGCAGGCUCAAAUAUAGAGGCUAUGUUUUAAUGCUAAAGAGUUUGCAUUCAACUAUAAGAACUAUCUCCAUGUAGUGUUUGAUUUGACCAGUGGUUUAACCAGCCUUGGAAUUCUUUUCUUGACCAGUAUAAUAGUAGCUGAAGCUAUUUAACUAUGUUCUUGGUGGGAAGAGAAAAUAGGGCUGAUAUAUAUGAACCAAACAGUAAAGCAAAGAAUACACAUGAGCAAAGAUAGGAAAUGGAUGAUUGUAAUAUCAAUAGAAAGGAGUUAGCCAGUAGGCAAAUCUAGGUAUGCAGCAAUGACAUGGAAACCAACUAGGAAAAACCAAACCAAUAGUUAGUCAUUUCCAAGGAAAUGACUGCUGCAGGAAUGAGAACUGUUCAACAUAAACCUACUGUGUAGUCCUUGUUGAAUUAAAUAAAAUUCAUUGAAAUCACUACUGGAGCUAUUAAGCCUAUUAGACUUUCUCAGCUUUCCAGGUGUUAUCUAGAUUGUUAAGUCUCAUGGCUGUACAGUACAACUUGAAAAAUAAUUAUAUAUUUGAUAAAUUUAACCAAUAUUGUCUGAAAAUGUUUCUUUAUAAAAUGAUCUUAUAGAAAUUGCUAAGAAAAAUAGAAAUACAUCUAAAGAUGAACAAAAGACAAAUUAAAUAACAAAUACAUUAGAUGUUACCUAAUAGCACAGGUAAUUAAAGAAAUGGAAAAUUAAGCAAAGCAUAUUAAGCUUAUUAAAGUAGAAGAUGAGAGUGUGAUACUUUGUGCUAGGAAAAAGUGAGAAAUUGUCAGAUUUUUGAACUGUUGCAAGAAUCCACAUAUUUCAAAAUAUUCUUCAAAAAAUACCUAUCUUUCAACUAAGUAUAUUUGCAUCUAGGAAUUCUUUCUAAAAUAAUCAUUUGAACAGUUAUGCAGACAUACAUGUAGACAAAUAUUCAUUAUAAGUUACUAUGUUGCUCCUUAAAAAGAUUAAACACACACAGAUAUCUAUAUGAAGAGAUAAGAAAUUAAAAAAUGCCAACACAUUAUAUUAAGUGAAAAAAGUUCACAUAAUAUAUUGACAUUUGUGAAGAUGUAUGGGUUCAUAGAUAACUAUAACAUAUAUUUCCCAUCAGCAGUAACAUUCUAUACCAGAAGCUCUAAGUAUUUUACACAUGACAACUCAUUUAAUCCUGAUCACUCUAUGAGAAAGACAUUAUCGUCUACAUAUACAGAUAAAUGUAAUGUAUCUGUGAAUUACAUUGAUCUGUAAAUGUGGGUAAAUUAUUCAAUCUGAGAAAGAAACAGACUGGAUAAAUUGCCUAGACAGUAGAAAGUAACAGAGUGAAGAUUUGAACACAUGCACUGAUUCCAGACACCAUAAUAUAUUAAGACACAUGGAGUUCCCAUCAUGGCUUAGCAGAAGUGAAUCUGACUAGUGUCCAUGAGGAUGCAGGUUUGAUCCCUGGCCUCACUCAGUGGUUUAAGGAUCCAGCGUUGUCGUUAGCUGUGUGCAAGUCACAGACGUGGCUUGGAUCUGGCAUGGGCUGUGGCUGUUGUGUAGGCCCGCUGCUGUAGCUCCGAUGCGACCCCUAGCCUGGGAACCUCCAUGCACCUCAGGUGUGGUCCUAAAAAGACAAAAAAAAAAAAAAAA